rnacentral:misc_RNA from 1 species
AUUAAGAUAAGAGCAGUGGACCGAGGUGCGACGGUUGCACUAGUAAAGGGUUCGUCGACUAAGGCUGUGUACAUACUGUAUUUCUAGUUACCGGCGGACCAUUUGGAGGAACUUUUAAGAACUGAUCGUGACUGUUGCUUCUAGGAAUCUACUGAUGACCUCUGGGUAACUUCACAGAAUCUGGAGUCUUCGUGAGCCACCCAGUUGACCCGCCCACUUACACCACAAAUAGUGUCACCUACUCACUCACUCCCAUUACACAGGUUCACAUCACGCCCAACUGACCUCCUCACCAUUGCUACGCCCACACUGACCUCUUCAUCCUUGCCACGCCCACAAUGACCUCACCAUUACCACGCCCACAAUGAUCUCACCACACCCACACUGACCUUCUCACCACUGCCACGCCCACAUUUUCUGUAUCGGCAACAAAAGUGAGUGUGGGUGUCGGCAUGUGGGCUUGCGGUAGUUGUGACCACCACCCGUGACACACCUGUCUUCUGGCUCACCACCACCCGUGACACACCUGUCUUCUGGCUCACCACCACCCGUGACACACCUGUCCUAACCUGCCGUCCUUUUCACUAUCCUUGUCGCAGUCACCAUGUGGAAAUUUACGGAUGAAAGGGGUGGGAUAAGGUUGUUGGUGUGCUGUGCCGUCCUGUUGCUGCACUACGCCCUGCGGGACGCCGUCAUCACUGCCCUCUCCACCAUAGCUGCUGAUCCUGCACCUUCAGACAAUACCACCACCACCUUCCUGCCUAAUGACACUACUUAUUUUACAACUGAGUCUGUAUUGACAUCCUUGAAAAGUGAACCAACUGUGUUAAGCCCAGUCUCUACUUCUAGUACAGACUCCACUAGUAAAACACCUACUGCUACCGAAUCAACUUUCACUUCUGCCUCACCCAGCAGUUCCGUCUCAACACCUAACACGUUCCACUCACAUGAAACAACUGAUUUUGUAUUUCGAAAAACACAAAGUAAUGAUCAGGUACAUCAAGAAAUUCGCGAGAGAUUCAGAUUCAAUAAAGAAACUUUCUUUAGAAAUAUGUUUAAGUUUGUUCGGCCAUCAGUGUUGGGAAGGUCAAGAACUAGUGACACUUCCUCAGAUGAUGUUGAUGAUGACUACGAGUACAGCGAACUACAGGAAUCAGACUCAAGCGUUUAUUUAGUUUCAGGAUCUGAUAAUGAGAAGACGACCGACGACUUACCACACCUCAAGGAAGGUUGGUCGUUGGUAAUUCAGGGUGUUGUGCUGAGCUCGGUAAACUGGACCAGCCUCCUCACUACACACUUCGCUGAUGCACUCAUUCGCAAGGUGGGCGUGGGCGUGGUGUUGGCGGGGUCGAUGGGCGUGGCGAGCUUCAUAGGGCUGCUCACCCACGCUGCCUCCAUGGGGGGUCCCUGGCUGCUCCUCUUCUCUAGGCUCGUAUUGGGGAUCACACAGGGGCUCAGUUUACCCUCCGUUCUGCGAGUGGUGGACGCCAUCCCUGACGUCUAUGUGAAAAAGAUGACCUUUCUCGUUAGUAUAGGAGGAGACUUGGGGACUCUGCUGGGUACAGGUCUGGCAGGACUUAAGCCAUGGUACUUGACGACGUAUCUGACGGGUAGCCUAGCCCUCCUGGUGACCGUACUCUGCAUCAUGUUACCCCACACCAGCGUCACCAAACAUUAUAAGGGAGCACCGUGGAAGGAGGUGGUGAAGAACAGGUCGGUGUGGAUAUUGUCGGGUAUACACGUCGGCUCCAUGUGGGUGCUGCAGACUCUGGUUGUGGCUGUGUCUUACCGCUUCACCUAUAUCUUCACUGAUCCAUCUGCUGGCGGGUGGUGGGCAAUGGGCGCGCCUCUACUUGGAUUACUGGUGGCUGGCUUCUACACUACGCUUACCUCCCUCUGUGAGGACGUGGAAUGGCUUAAUCUCUGCCUUGAAGGUGAUGAUAUUGAUGAUCAGGUGGAUGCGACCUGCUACGCUCUCAUUGCUAGAACCUGCCUUCGCUUCCUCAAGAAUAUUAAAGUUGUCAUAGGCGGUGUGAUUGUGACAGUGGCCGCUAUUUUAAUGGCUGUUGGAGGGAUGAACACAAAAAAUGGACUGAUAAAAGCAGCAGUGUCCAUGGGCUGUGGUCUCUACCUAAUGCAAUAUGGCAAUAAGCAUACUUUGAAAUCGCUUGCCCCCUGGGAAGAGUGGCAUCUCGUCAAGGUGUUCAAGGAAGCUGAGGUAGUGACCGCUGCGCUCACCCCUCUCUUGGUCACCGGCAUUGCCCAGAGUGGUGAAGGAGGGUGGGCGGCUGUGUGGGUGAUUCCUCUGGUGGUCGUCUUGCCGUCUGCUGUUGGUCACCUCUGUCUACCUACUACCAUCGACCUGCCCUGGGUUGAACCAAUAAAUAUCCCAGAUGGAGCUGAAGAGGGCAUAAGUUGUCCCACCUGGAAGUUCCCUCGAAGAAACAAUAACACAGUGAAUAGACCGAACACACCUACAGUACCACCCCGUGAAGUUCGUCAAUCUAUUCGGAGUGGCCAGAGCUUUUUUAGUGCACGGUCAGACUAUAGCUUCAAGACAGCUGUAUCACUGUCCAGGUCGCGGACUACCUCUGCCCGCACUGUGGAUGACAGCCUUGAGGGUGACAUGCAGAGUGCAGUGGAGUGCGCCAGUGUGGACUUUCACAGCGUUAUCGACGAGGCUGACCCAGAGUGUGUAAGUGUCGCCUCCACCAACACGUUUAAGAGUGAUGGACCAAGCAAGCAGAGAGGGGACUCAUUAAGGCAGCAACACCAACAUCGAGAUCAACAGUUUGGCUCAAUGCUCUCUAACGGCACUGACAGGACGGCUGCCUGGCUCAGCUCCCACCACAACAUUAACAACGGUCCCAGCGACAACGAACAGGCUAUAACGAAAAUCUGAUGUACUCUAAUACUUCAUUCAUUGUAAUAUUCAUUUUAUUUCUUAAUACUUUACUUAAUUAAAUGUAAGGUUUUGAAAUAGUACUCAUCUGCUAGCGUUUAAAGUGAGUAAAAAGGACAGCGAAAAAUAACUGGUAAUGUAUUUCCAUAAUUACAAUUUUGAACUUUACUUUAGAUAAUAGAAAAUACUUUUACCUAGGCAGAAUUUACACUUUCAGAUUAGAUAGAUAGAUAUUUCUUCAGUAAAAUGGUCAUACACGUUUACAAUUGGUCCAACAUGUAUAUAGACAAUACAGGUAUACAGUUUAGCAUGCCUAUAGUUAGCGUAUUUAUACAGUGUACAGUACAUAGAUAGUGUAGCUAUACAAACAAUGGUAAACCGUAAGGCACUUGGACCAAUAACAAAGCCAUCAAUUAUUUACUAAGGUGAUAAGGUCGUAUCCUCACUGCUAUUAUAUGAAGAUUCUUGUAUAAAAAACAAAUAACUGGAUUAUACGUGGUUAAAUAUAGUUUUGUUAAUAAAAAAAAAUAAAAAAAAUAAUAAACUAAUGUGUGUGUGUGUGUGUGUGUGUGUGUGUGUGUGUGUGUGUGUGUGUGCGUGUGUGUGUGUGUGUGAAUGUGUGUGUGUGUGUGUGAAUGUCAUGUUACUAAGUACGUAUAAUUUUGUGAAUGAAAAACAAAGAAAUUUGGAAAAUGACCAUGAAAUGUUGUUGUUAUUGUUGAUGGUGAUGAUGACAAUGAUAAUGAUAAUUCUAAUGAGGAUUGUGGUGACUGGUUAGGAUGAUGAUGAUGAUGAUGAUAAUGAAUAAACCUCCAGGUAAGUAAGGUAACCAGAUAUGUGUAAGGGCCGGAUAUAGUGAUGUCAAAUGUGAUAACUCUCGCCCUUAACACACACACAUUUUUGGAAUUGUUUUUAUUCUGAUUUUGUUUUUCUAUUGACAUAAUCAUUGUUUUCUUGUCUUUAAUUUAUAUAUUUACUGAGUAUAUAAGUUUUGUCUGGUAUAAUAGUGUAUCUUUAUAUUAUAUUACAUUGUUAUAUUGUUUGAUAUCUGGUUAUAUUGUUUGGUUUUUUUCAGCGGCCAGAAUCAAGAGCACACAUGUACACAUCAGACACGAAUGUACGCACACAGCCUCCCUUUAUUAGUUGUCACUUGUCACUUGAUUUACUCAGGGGUGUAAAAUGUUUUCUCUUGUCUGCUGUUACUUUUGUUCAACGGGUAUAUUUUAAUCGAACCUUUUAUUAUACCAGACACAUGUAAAUAGUGUGUAGAGAAUAUUUAUUAAUCUUCAGUUAUUCCAGAUUUGAAUAAUUGCUAUAGUUGUGUCAGUUAAAAUGUUGAUAGAUGUAUUAUGUGAAUUAUUUAAGUCUCCCUACACCUGAGAGUGGACGGGAUACAGGGCCAAUAGUCACUAGUUUGCUCCCAGGUCACUUGAAGUCUUCACUGUGUUGCAUCCAUUCUGCUACUCACGACCCAUCAGACCUACAGUACCUAAAACAAUUGUUAUGUUAGUGUUUUGAUUAGCAUGAGGUGACACUGUAUAUGAGGUAAUACUGUCCAUGAGGUGACACUGUCCAUGAGGUGACACUGUCCAUGAGGUGACACUGUCCAUGAGGUGACACUGUCCAUGAGGUGACACUGUCCAUGAGGUGACACUGUCCAUGAGGUGACACUGUCCAUGAGGUGACACUGUCCAUGAGGUGACACUGUCCAUUACCUGCUACACAGAUGGUCACAUAUUUAGGUAUACAGGCUUGAGUUUUGUCUUACUGAGUCGAACCUGAUUGUCUCAGCAGCCAUUUUCUCAGAUAUGUUGAGUACAAGCUGGCCUAAAGUCAGGAUAUAUUUUACUACAGUAUAACACAGAAGACAAUAUCAUCCUGUAUUCUCAUCACAGUUUACAUGGCUCCAGUGUUUGUUGAUAGUUUAAUUUUUUGGGGGUGAAGCUUAAUUUGCAUAAUAUAAAAGAAAUUUAAGCCAUGUGGGUUGUACAGAUUUGAUCAAGAACAAAAGAUAAAAUAAUGAUCUAUAUUAUCUCUUAAAGUGUACGCAAAAUAUCAAUGGAGUUAUUUAUUUUUAUUUAUUAUUUCACCACUUAUCACCUUAAUAGCCGUUCGGGCGGUUAUUCUGUUCUGUGUUAGUUUGUUAUAACAUUUAUUUACCCAGUGUUGGUACAGCAAAAACCCGGAGUACAGUAGCUGGAUAAAACCUGUAAUGUCUGGUAGGAAUACACUGGAUAACACCCCUCUCACACCUGAUCACAGUAGGGAUUGAACCCAGGUCAUAUGCUGGGAGGGGAGAUGCAUGCAAUUCAGCUUUGCCACCAACAAAAUCUUCCCAUAUAAUAAAGUUCUUAAUAUUUCUAGUCAGAGAAGUAAUUGAAAUAUAUAGAGAAUGCUUAUGUUAUACAAUACUGAUAUAGUCAUUUAAUAUAAUAUCAUGCACCAAGAUACUAACCCCGUCAUUGAGAAUUAAUCAGCCGCCAUUUCAUUAACAAAGUAUAAUAGGGUCUGAUUUUAUAGUCUCUUUAAGUAAGUAAACUUUACCUAUUGAAUACAUCUUAAAUUCUAUUAUUUUUGUUUGUGUUUUGUACUUUGUAAUUUAUUCUUAACAGUUUUAGUUCUCAUCUGAUGCAAUUUACCAAAUGGGAUCACAGUAAUUGAGAUGUUUUGUUUUUUAUUUAGAUGAAGAAAGUAAAUAUUAAUUAUUAUCAAAUCAUAGUACAGUCAGUUGAUGUUAGUAUACACGGGGAAGACAGUCAUAUAGACCAAAGUGGUACAAUACUUAUUAUACUUUACUUAUUUUUUUUAGAUAAGUAUUUUAUAUUGACUUGUCUAUCAUAGAGUAUCUAGGUAAGAAAAGGAAACAACUUUACAGAUAUUUAGGAAUUUUAUAUUUUUUGUAAUGUAUUCUGAAGUGAUAAAGAAAUGUUUUGUAUUGUAUUCAGUUAUAUUUUAAAUUAUUAGAAUAAAAGUUAAUGGCAACUGUUCUGAACAAAAAUUAUCAAAGUUUUCAAUAAAAUGAAUAAAUCAAACUAUAUAUUAGUCAUGGUUAUAUCUCUCAAUAUUAACCUUUAUAAAACACAACACUGACUCUUCACACAAUCCUAUUACAUACCCUCACACUUGGUGCCCUUCAGAAAAUGCAAAUAAUUUAUAUUCCAAGGCUGAG